UUUUGUGAUUCGUAAUUAGUAUACAAAACAACGAACUGCCUUGUUGCCAAACCAGGUAGGAUAAAAAGGUAAUAUAACAAAAAAUUUUAUAAAAAAAGAGCUCGAAUCAUGAACAGCAACAUGUUUUUUAAAUCAUAUUCAUUAUAAAGUAUGAUUAAUAUAAACAACAUUCGCAUUUAUAUUUGUUUCUAUAGCAUCGAUUAAUGUUGAAGCAGAGCUGUAAAGAAGUCUGCAGUUCUGCAACCGUUAUCAGGUAGAUAGCAUUUUUAGGCGUUUGUCGACACCGUGAGGCAGACCGUAAUCUCAUUAGACAAGCAAGCGAGUUAAACACGCUUGGACAGGAUCGACGGAUCGUUGAAAAAGAGAUCACGAAAUGACAAAACUGAAGAUUCUUAUAACUUACUGUGGUGCCUGAGGGUACCGUGGGAAGUUCAACAAGCUCAAACAAGAGCUUGAUGGACUCUUCCCAGGUCUUCUAGAUAUUACAGGAGAAGGUACUCCUGGUGUCACUGGCUACUUUGAAGUAGGAAUUGAGAAUGGCAAACUCCUUCACUCAAAGAAAAAUGGAAGUGGCUUUGUGGACACUCCUGCCAAGAUGCAGGCCAUUGUUGAUGGUAUUAAACUGGCUUUAGCUGAAUAACUAAUAAAGCCCCACUACUUAAACAUACCAUCUAGCAGGAGAAAAUGUGUUUUACUAGUAAUUACAAUGACUUGAGUGACAAGGAUGAAGGGGCUGAUUGAAAAACAUUUGUUGAAUCAGUUUCUGAUGGUUUAUUUUGUCUUACUCUUGUUAUUGAAAGAACAUGGUAAAAUACAAAUGAUUGCAUAACUGA